GCCUUUUUCCACAACGGGUUUUUAAAACGCCACCAUCUUUGAUAUAUGUCGGUUUGAUUGGGGGACGACCGGACACGAUAUUACUUCUUUGUAUUUAGUGAUCAGUGACAUUGGAUUACAUCGAUUUGAUGGAUUAAAACUAUCUGCACAUCUUACUGCUUAGAUCGCCGUCCCAGAUACGAUUCUCCCGCUUUAAAGCAAGACGUCUGGCGUCGAGAAAAGAAGGGAAAGAAUCGAGGUGUACUAAAGAUGUGGAACGGUGGAUAUUAUUAUUUCAAUGUAACCGAUAUAAAGAUUGAUAAAUAAAAAUUAAACUAAGG